AACGAACGCUGGCGGCAUGCCUAACACAUGCAAGUCGAACGAAGCCUUCGGGCUUAGUGGCGCACGGGUGCGUAACGCGUGGGAAUCUGCCCUUGGGUUCGGAAUAACAGUUAGAAAUGACUGCUAAUACCGGAUGAUGACGUAAGUCCAAAGAUUUAUCGCCCAAGGAUGAGCCCGCGUAGGAUUAGGUAGUUGGUGAGGUAAAGGCUCACCAAGCCGACGAUCCUUAGCUGGUCUGAGAGGAUGAUCAGCCACACUGGGACUGAGACACGGCCCAGACUCCUACGGGAGGCAGCAGUGGGGAAUAUUGGACAAUGGGCGAAAGCCUGAUCCAGCAAUGCCGCGUGAGUGAUGAAGGCCUUAGGGUUGUAAAGCUCUUUUACCCGGGAUGAUAAUGACAGUACCGGGAGAAUAAGCUCCGGCUAACUCCGUGCCAGCAGCCGCAGUAA
rnacentral:rRNA from 1 species